AUUGAACGCUGGCGGCAGGCCUAACACAUGCAAGUCGAACGAGUGGCGGACGGGUGAGUAAUGGCUGGGAAACUGCCUGAUGGAGGGGGAUAACUACUGGACACGGUAGCUAAUACCGCAUACCAUCGGAUGUGCCCAGAUGGGAUUAGCUAGUAGGUGGGGUAAAGGCUCACCUAGGCGACGAUCCCUAGCUGGUCUGCGAGGAUGACCAGCCACACUGGAACGCAGACACGGGCCAGACUCCUACGGGAGGAAGCAGAGGGGAACAUUGCACAAUGGGCGAAAGCCUGAUGCAGCCAUGCGGCUGGUAUGAAGAAGGCCUUCGGGUUGUAAAGUACUUUCAGCGGGGAGGCGUUACCCGCAGAAGAAGCACAGGCGAACUCCGUGCCAGCAGCCGCGUAAUAC
rnacentral:rRNA from 1 species